UAUAGCUCUUAUUGGCCAUUUUUAAAUUGCUGGAAAUGUUGACACUUUGCAUUACAGAAUACUUUGGAGUGAGCACGUUCCAGCGAAAAUGAUGAGGCUUGUAACAAUUUUUGUAUGGUUGGCUGGGUGGAUUUCAGUGGUGGCAGUGACGGACAGUUAUAGCUUUGCAGUGUAGGGGUUUAGAAAUAGAGAUUUUGGAGCUUGGUUGGCUAUUAAGGACAUGCUCUAAGGGCUAGAUGCAUAUUAUUUUUGGAGGCAAGGAUUAGGUUG
rnacentral:misc_RNA from 1 species